rnacentral:lncRNA from 1 species
GAGGGUAGAGACGUCAUUGCAAAAGAAGCAAAUUUGGAUCAUUUCCUCUUUCUGUUCAUGCAUCAGUUGUAUAGCAUCUUUUCUGUUAAAACCGUGCUGCUUAGCUUUAUUCGUGUAGAGGUAUAGCAUUCUAGAUUCUUCUCAUUCACUGUAUAAAUAUGUGUAAGUCUGAACCAUUAUAAAUAUCAAUCUCUAUAAAGUAAUUGCUUAAACCAUCAUCCAGUUCUUCUGUUGCUUCCUCCAUUGGAGGGAUUACAUUUUCAAUUCUCUAUUUUCUUAUAUGGUAUCAGAGC